rnacentral:rRNA from 1 species
AGUGAAUAGAUACCCGGGUAGUCCACGCCCUAAACGAUGAGUACUGGUUGUUUGAAGUAUCGACCCUUCAAAGUGACGAAAGCUAAACGCGUUAAGUACUCCGCCUGGGGAGUACGGUCGCAAGACUAAAACUCAAAGGAAUAGACGGGAGCUUGCACAAGCGGUGGAGCGUCUGGUUUAAUUCGACGACAAGCGAAGAACCUUACCAAGACUUGAAAUCCUAGUGAAACCCCGCGGAAACGUGGGACUUCUACAAGGACACUAGGACAGGUGCUGCAUGGUUGUCGUCAGCUUGUGGCGUGAGUUGCUCCGUUAAGUCGGGUAACAAGCGCAACCCCCAUUUCGUGUUACAAGUGUCACGAGAGACUGCCAAGUUUUUCUUGGAGGAAGGUGGGGAUGACGCCAAAUCAGCAUGGCCCUCUGAUGUCUUGGGCAACACAGGCGCUACAAUGGCCGAUACAAUGGGUCGCUAAGUCGCAAGAUGGAGCCAAUCCCAUUCAAAGUCGGUCUCAGUUCGGAUUGAGGUCUGCAAUUCGACCUCAUGAA